GACGACGGACGCGACGGGGAAGACGGCGGUGACGCCGUGGUCGCACCGCGUCGACGACGCGGCGGCGGCGGCGGAUGAGGAGAUUCGCGUCGCGUUGGCCGCGGGCGACGCGCUUCUGUUGGACGGGCGGACGACGCACCGCGGGCUCGCGAACACGUCGAACAGGAGCGAGAAGGACGGGACAGCAGGGAUGCGCGAUCGCGUGCGGAGGAUGUGCUUCUUCACGUUCAAGCGGCCGGGGAUCACGGACGGGAACGCAGCCGCGUACCUGAGCGACGGCGACGACGAGAGCGACGACGACGAGAGCGACGGGAGCGACGACGGGAGCGACGACGGGAGCGACGACGGGAGCGCCGAGGAGGAGGAGGAGAACGAGGAGGGGAGCGAGCGCGACGACGUUCGCGGUGACGCUCCCGCGGGGAAGAAGGCGAGGACGCGCGGCGUCGAGAAGGUAGGAGGACCCAGUAGCUAGUACGAUAGCCUCGGCGGCUGAAUACCGCGACGAUCGCCCGCUACCAGGGUUUAGGGUUUAGGGUUUAGGGUUUAGGGUUUAGGGUUUAGGGUUUAGGGUUUAGGGUUUAGGGUUUUAGGGUUUAGGGUUUAGGGUUUAGGGUUUAGGGUUUAGGGUUUAGGGUUUAGGGU
rnacentral:lncRNA from 1 species